rnacentral:rRNA from 1 species
UACAGAGGGGGGCAAGCGUUUGUUCGGAAUUACUGGGCGUAAAGGGCGCGUAGGCGGCCUGUUAAGUCGAACGUGAAAUCCCUGGGCUCAACCCAGGAACUGCGUCCGAUACUGGUGGGCUCGAAUCCGGGAGAGGGAUGUGGAAUUCCAGGUGUAGCGGUGAAAUGCGUAGAUAUCUGGAGGAACACCGGUGGCGAAGGCGGCAUCCUGGACCGGUAUUGACGCUGAGGCGCGAAAGCCAGGGGAGCAAACGGG